UUAGCAAGAUGAGUGAUUGCCCGCCGAUGAGGCGGGAGGAAAGUCCGAACACUCUCUCGUGAAAACGGGAUAAAAUAAUAGCGGCUAACAGCCGUCCACCGCAAGGUGCGAGGUGCGAACAGUGACGCCAAGGCCGAAAGGCUGCGGCCCCGACGGACGUCGGGGAGUUCCAUAGCAAUAUGGGAAUGAAACGGCUAAAUCCUUAUUGGGCGCAAGAACAAACCCUUCGACAAGCUCAGGGUAAAGCCUGGAAAAAUUCGUUUAUGAAUUUUGCUGUCGCAGGAGAAAAGUAGUUCGCCAGAGCUUGUUAGCAAUAACAGGCCCAGAUAGAUAAUCACACUUCGACUCGCUAUGCUCGCUCAGUGCAAGCAUAAUAGUUGAAGAACAGAAUUCGGCUUAUAGUCUUGCUAAGACA
rnacentral:RNase_P_RNA from 1 species